GAUGAAGAACGCAGCGAAAUGCGAUAAGUAAUGUGAAUUGCAGAAUUCCGUGAAUCAUCGAAUCUUUGAACGCACAUUGCGCCCCCUGGCAUUCCGGGGGGCAUGCCUGUCCGAGCGUCAUUUCUGCCCUCAAGCACGGCUUGUGUGUUGGGUGUGGUCCCCCCGGGGACCUGCCCGAAAGGCAGCGGCGACGUCCGUCUGGUCCUCGAGCGUAUGGGGCUCUGUCACUCGCUCGGGAAGGACCUGCGGGGGUUGGUCACCACUAUAUUUUACCACGGUUGACCUCGGAUCAGGUAGGAGUUACCCGCUGAACUUAAGCAUAUCAAUAAGCGGAGGA
rnacentral:misc_RNA from 1 species